UGGCUCAGAUUGAACGCUGGCGGCAGGCCUAACACAUGCAAGUCGAACGGUAACAGGAAGCAGCUUGCUGCUUUGCUGACGAGUGGCGGACGGGUGAGUAAUGUCUGGGAAACUGCCUGAUGGAGGGGGAUAACUACUGGAAACGGUAGCUAAUACCGCAUAACGUCGCAAGACCAAAGAGGGGGACCUUAGGGCCUCUUGCCAUCGGAUGUGCCCAGAUGGGAUUAGCUAGUAGGUGGGGUAACGGCUCACCUAGGCGACGAUCCCUAGCUGGUCUGAGAGGAUGACCAGCCACACUGGAACUGAGACACGGUCCAGACUCCUACGGGAGGCAGCAGUGGGGAAUAUUGCACAAUGGGCGCAAGCCUGAUGCAGCCAUGCCGCGUGUAUGAAGAAGGCCUUCGGGUUGUAAAGUACUUUCAGCGGGGAGGAAGGGAGUAAAGUUAAUACCUUUGCUCAUUGACGUUACCCGCAGAAGAAGCACCGGCUAACUCCGUGCCAGCAGCCGCGGUAAUACGGAGGGUGCAAGCGUUAAUCGGAAUUACUGGGCGUAAAGCGCACGCAGGCGGUUUGUUAAGUCAGAUGUGAAAUCCCCGGGCUCAACCUGGGAACUGCAUCUGAUACUGGCAAGCUUGAGUCUCGUAGAGGGGGGUAGAAUUCCAGGUGUAGCGGUGAAAUGCGUAGAGAUCUGGAGGAAUACCGGUGGCGAAGGCGGCCCCCUGGACGAAGACUGACGCUCAGGUGCGAAAGCGUGGGGAGCAAACAGGAUUAGAUACCCUGGUAGUCCACGCCGUAAACGAUGUCGACUUGGAGGUUGUGCCCUUGAGGCGUGGCUUCCGGAGCUAACGCGUUAAGUCGACCGCCUGGGGAGUACGGCCGCAAGGUUAAAACUCAAAUGAAUUGACGGGGGCCCGCACAAGCGGUGGAGCAUGUGGUUUAAUUCGAUGCAACGCGAAGAACCUUACCUGGUCUUGACAUCCACGGAAGUUUUCAGAGAUGAGAAUGUGCCUUCGGGAACCGUGAGACAGGUGCUGCAUGGCUGUCGUCAGCUCGUGUUGUGAAAUGUUGGGUUAAGUCCCGCAACGAGCGCAACCCUUAUCCUUUGUUGCCAGCGGUCCGGCCGGGAACUCAAAGGAGACUGCCAGUGAUAAACUGGAGGAAGGUGGGGAUGACGUCAAGUCAUCAUGGCCCUUACGACCAGGGCUACACACGUGCUACAAUGGCGCAUACAAAGAGAAGCGACCUCGCGAGAGCAAGCGGACCUCAUAAAGUGCGUCGUAGUCCGGAUUGGAGUCUGCAACUCGACUCCAUGAAGUCGGAAUCGCUAGUAAUCGUGGAUCAGAAUGCCACGGUGAAUACGUUCCCGGGCCUUGUACACACCGCCCGUCACACCAUGGGAGUGGGUUGCAAAAGAAGUAGGUAGCUUAACCUUCGGGAGGGCGCUUACCACUUUGUGAUUCAUGACUGGGGUGAAGUCGUAACAAGGUAACC
rnacentral:rRNA from 1 species